CCCGCGGACAGAGCCGCGCUGGACCCUUUCCCCGCAAGCAGAGGGCGGCCGGCGAUGGGGAUCUCGGUACCCCGACGGCCGCCCCAGCCCCGGGAGGGAAGCACCGACCGGGCCGGCCUGGACAUCGCACCGCUCAGGACCCCGUGUCGCUGCGGGACUGGGCGGGACAGCCCCCGCCUGGCUGCCACGAAGCGGUUUUUUUUGCCUGACUCCGCUCCCCGAGCACCAGCGGAGGGAAGAAACAUCUCUGGAACAAACGGUGCUCAAGGUUUUGAGAGCAAGAGCUGCCAAUGAGAUCUCCGUGGGGAUGUCUGCUUUUAAAAACCGGUGGGACAAGGGUGUCCCUGCGUUUCACGCGUGUGCGUGAGCGUUUAUAUGUGUAUUGGUGCGAGGCGGUGCAUGUUAAAGUCUUACUAACAAGCGUUUGUUCCCAGGAAUUUAUUGUAGUAUUCAAACUAAACUGCUGGAAAAAUAAAAGAGGUAAAGUCUG